UGAGUUGUAGCUUUCCUAUCCAUCAGUUUGUUUUGAAGUUAACUAAUUGUUAGGGGAGUAGACAGUAGCAUUUGCUUUGAAGGUCAUACUUUGUGGUAUUUGCUAUGUUGAAAAAUAAAAUGGAGGCAGACAACGCUUUAUAUUUCCUGUUCCGAACAAAACACAAUGGUUUGGCACACCUUGAUUGGCCUGAGAUGUUAAGUUGCGUUGGUACUGUGUUUCUUAAAGGUUCAUGUGAAUUAAGUACACUGCUCUAUAUAAAAUUGGAUUCCUGGCUUGAUAUUUUUGGAUUACUCUUUAGCUUUCAAACUUGAGAUGUUGAUUCAAAAUUGUCUGGAGCAGUUGAUGAUCGACUGUCAUACUACAUUUCCAUU
rnacentral:lncRNA from 1 species